CCUACGGGCGGCAGCAGUGGGGAAUAUUGGACAAUGGGGGGAACCCUGAUCCAGCCAUGCCGCGUGUGUGAAGAAGGCCCUCGGGUUGUAAAGCACUUUCAGUGAGGAAGAACGCCUGGUGGUUAAUACCCAUCAGGAAAGACAUCACUCACAGAAGAAGCACCGGCUAACUCCGUGCCAGCAGCCGCGGUAAUACGGAGGGUGCGAGCGUUAAUCGGAAUUACUGGGCGUAAAGCGCGCGUAGGUGGCUUGAUAAGUCGGUUGUGAAAGCCCCGGGCUCAACCUGGGAACGGCAUCCGGAACUGUCAAGCUAGAGUGCAGGAGAGGAAGGUAGAAUUCCCGGUGUAGCGGUGAAAUGCGUAGAGAUCGGGAGGAAUACCAGUGGCGAAGGCGGCCUUCUGGACUGACACUGACACUGAGGUGCGAAAGCGUGGGUAGCAAACAGGAUUAGAUACCCCAGUAGUC
rnacentral:rRNA from 1 species